GACGAACGCUGGCGGCGGGCUUAACACAUGCCAGUCGAACGGGAAGGCCGGGCUUUGGUGCGGUGCGCGGGUGACGAACGGGGGAGUAACACUUGAGUUACCUACAACUGCCUGAGGGAUAACUUCAGAAAACAUGGGCUAAUACGGGGUAGGAUCUCUUGCUACAUGGUGGGGGCGGGACAGUUUCGGCGGUUGGGGAUGGACUCGCGGCUUAUCAGCUUGAUGGUGGGGUAGUGGCUGACCAUGGCUUGGACGGGUAGCCGGCCUGAGAGGGUGAGCGGCAACAUCGCGACUGAGAUACGGCCCAGACUCAUACGCGAGGCAGAGGUGGGGAAUGGUGCACUAUGGGAGGGGGCCUAAUGCAGCACCGCCGCGUGCGGGAUGACGACCAUGGGGUUGGAAUCCGAAUUCGCUUGGGCCGGAGCGUUAAUGACUGUACCGGAUGAAGAAGCCCCGGCUAACUACGUG
rnacentral:rRNA from 1 species